GAUGAACGCUGGCGGCGUGCCUAAUACAUGCAAGUCGAGCGAACGGACGAGACGCUUGCUUUUCUGAUGUUAGCGGCGGACGGGUGAGUAACACGUGGAUAACCUACCUAUAAGACUGGGAUAACUUCGGGAAACCGGAGCUAAUACCGGAUAAUAUUUUGAACCGCAUGGUUCAAAAGUGAAAGACGGUCUUGCUGUCACUUAUAGAUGGAUCCGCGCUGCAUUGGCUAGUUGGUAAGGUAACGGCUUACCAAGGCAACGAUGCAUAGCCGACCUGAGAGGGGGAUAGGCGACAUGGGAACUGAGACAGGGUCCAGACUCCUACGGGAGGCAGCAGUAGGGAAUCUUCCGCAAUGGGCGAAAGCCUGACGGAGCAACGCCGCGUGAGUGAUGAAGGUCUUCGGAUCGUAAAGCUCUGUUAUUAGGGAAGAACAGAUGUGUAAGUAAAUGUGCACAUCUUGACGGUACCUAAUCAGAAAGCCACGGCUAACUACGUG
rnacentral:rRNA from 1 species